rnacentral:lncRNA from 1 species
AAAAAAAGCUCAAUCUGGCAUCACAAAUUUAGCUAUUAAAAUCAAUAACAUAACGCAACUCAAUUAAUAAAAUACUUUCUCUCAAUCAAUAGAUUAAAAUUACAUUGUACAAGUGAAAAAUCAUUAUUAACCUUUUAAAGAAAUUAAUAACUUGGUUAUUAAGAUUGCUACAGGUUCCCUAGAUUAUGUCUUCGUGGACCUAAAACCACCAUUAACAAGAGCGCUUGAAACAUGUCCC